rnacentral:lncRNA from 1 species
UAGAAUUGAAGAAUUAAUAAAGACCAACAAAAUCUCAUAGCGUCUUUUUUAUCCUCUUUAUCGAGAGUGACUCAACCAAUAUUCCAGCAUUAUUAUGAUCAAUGCAAGAAAAUUCAACUCAUCUAAAAUCUGUCUAGCAACAUCUAUCGACUUGAAAUGACUAGGAAAUAAUAAAAAAAAACAUCCCCUUGAAUACCCUCCACACCAACCAUUUCUUCACCAUUUACAUCAUUGCUUAGCACUACAUCAAUUCUUCAGCUUCUGGCCUACUACCAUACCAUGAAAAUAAAUUUGGAAUUGGCAUUGGCAAUGUCUUCCUUCAACCAACCAUACUAUGUGUGAUCGUUGCCACUGAAUUCGUACCUAUGAAUAGAGCUGUCAAUUUGACAAGCUCCUUAAUAAUUG